CUAAUCUGUGACGUAUUUCACUGUUCCAAAGAUUUCAGCAAAACACUCUUAUUUGGCAAGAAACUGGAAAGCACAGAAAUAUAUAUUUUAAGUUCAGUGCUUAACCUUUUCUCUGUUGUCUUGAAGAAUUUACUACCCAUCUGCAGAGCUGCAGCUUCUAAUCACUGUAAUGAACGUGUUUGGCUUUACUAACUGUUAAUGCCAUUUAGUUUUCAUUUUUCUCACUGAAGCAGUAAUAUUUUCUGCUCUCUGAAUGGGAGACUGUUAUUUUUCCUUCCAGGCCAUGCUACUAAUGUUAUUCAUUUUGCAGAUGCAUACGUUUGAAUUUUCUACGUAGUGAAAAAGGGAGGACUUGACACAAGUGUAAAUGGAGCACAGCACAAGAAAAGAUGCUGCCCAUAGGGAGUAAACUACUUAAAACAAGGGAGAAUUGUAAGUGACUGUCAGGUCUCACCACUGUCUGCUUUCCAGGUCAUUUUCCUUUCUUCUAGGAGCUAAAUUAGUGAGGAACAUAUGCAGAUGUUUGUUUGUGAAGCUCACUGGGAUUUAGCACCUUACAGGUUAAUAAGGAGAAAAAAACAGAUGUGAAAUUGCAAUAUAGAAAUGUCCAUUCAAUCUAGAUGGUAGUGCAGCUCUUGCAGUGUGGUGGAGCUUUAAGGAAGGUAAUGGCCCAGGAGGCAGUGGAACCACUGGUAUUUCUGGUGCAUUUCCUUCUUUGACCUCUACACACCUAUUGCUGACAUUGUAAGCUGAAGAGCCUUGGAUAUCAUGUGUUGUGCACUGUGUUCUUUUUGCAUGUGGAAUCUGCAUGCAGGCUGAUGGAUGACUGCUUCUUUUCGAAGCAACGAGAUUAGAAAUGGCUGCUCUACUUCUGUCUGAUGUAAGAGCACAGGCCCAGGAUGACUGCUCAGGAUCUUCUUGCAGGAGUGUGACCCCUGUAUGACUUGAGACAAAUUGUGACAGUUCAUGGAUUGCUGCAUUUCCCCUCAUGUAUCAUUCAUGAUGUCAGCUCCCCUUUUAUCCUUCCGCUCUGUUCACUUAGCAUCAUGGCUGCGGGAAGCAAUCUCAACUGAAGUACCACUGAGCACCUUCAGAGAGAUAAUGCCUUUCUUAUUCUUCCAAGAAGAGUCUGAAGUGUCCUUGGGAGUGGCAUCGUUCACAGGUGGAAGUAUUUGUGAAGAUUUUGAAGUCAAGGAUUCAAAGUCAUGUGGAUGGAGCACACCAAGUGCCUGGGGUUUUAUUGCUUCGUGGCUUCGGGAUUGUUCACAGCUCCUCAGUUCUACUUUUAUUGACAGGCUCUUCUUUUCACCUUGCUGUGUUUGAACAGAGUGUACCUUUUUGUUACAUAUCACUGUUUUAACACCAUAUGUUGUAGAACAGCAAUUAGACUCGCUGGAAUGCAUCGACAUCCCUUCCUGAAGUGGUAUCAGUGAUGAUGGCAUCUACACUUAACUUGUUUUCUGGUUUCGACUGAUAUCUUGUGGUCUUGGCUUCUUGACCUGCACUUCUGUCAAUAGGUGGCAACGUGUCUAAGCAGAACAGACACUUGGAAGCUUUGUUUGCCUUAAAGUGCUUGACUUGUUUUUGCAGCUGAAAGCAGGCAAGUGGAUCAGUUCUAUCCCAGCCGUGCACCUGGUCAUAAAGAAAUGAUAAAUCUAAGGCAGCCCAGAGCACUGCAAGGAGAAAAAUGUAGAGGAAAUAGUGUUUGCUGAUGUAAAUAAGCUGCCACUUUGUGCUGGAAACAAGCAGUUAGGUUGGAUAUUAGGAAAAAUUCUUCUCCAAAAGAUUGGUCAGUGGUGGGGUCACCAUCCCUGGAGGAGUUCAAGAAGGGUUUAAGUGUGGUACUGAAGGACAUGGCUUAGUGGGAAACAUCGGUGGCAGGUAAAUGGUUGGACUGGGUCAUCUUGGAGGUCUUUUCAACCUCGGCGAUUCUGUGGUUCUGUGAAUCCUUUUCAAAAGAACACAACUAUUUCUAUGAGAAAAAAAAAAUACUAUAAACGGAAUGGUCCUUUUCACUUCCAAAGAACAAGUUAGGUCUCUUCUUUUUUAUUUUUAUUUAUUUAUUGAUUGCUUUUCCACUGCAGUCUUAACUGCGGCUUUUUUUAGUCCCCACACUUUCCCAAAGCCUUAAAGCCAAUCACAGAGUCUGGAGAGGUGGUUAAUGCUUACCUAAUAAAAUUGCAUUGAGCUCCAUCAGGGCACACAGAAGGCAGACUCACAAGGUCACGAACUGAAGUAAACUCUUACAACUCCAUUUUCUUGUUAUUAUCGUAGGUUUCUUUGGAUCCCGAUAUUUAAAGUAAAAUAUGUAUAUUCAAAUCCAAACCCCCCAACCGCAGAGUAACCCUUCUCUGUCACCUCUCUGUUCAUCAGAACAUGCAGUCCUUUGGAAAUCAUUCACUUACCCCUCAGAUCAAACAUCCUGGAUAAACUCUUGUGCAUCAUACAGCUUACGUCUUCGUAGAUAAAGAGCACACGUCCUGGUUAGAUGAGGAUAAUAAUUGGUAUAAAGGAUCGAUAUCUUUAUUGAUUCUUUAAUACAAUACUUAACACUUUUUAGAUGCAGCACCGGCAUAUGCCUUAAAUCUGAUCUGGCAUUUCUCUGAGAUUUCAGAUGUUUUCACAGGGAAAAUUCAUUAUGCCUGCCAAAGCAGUGUAGGGAGGUAUUUGUAAGUAUCCACAUACAGAACAAAUGCAUCACACAAGGCUUACACACUGUCGAAGCAAUUAUCAGUGUCAGAUUCACGUAGUCACGUGUGAUUGUUAAAGUCCUGGGUGAUGCUGUAGCAUAACACCCACAGAGCUCAUCAGCAUCAGAAGAGCUGCACAGAUGUGAAUGAGAGCAGAAGCUGACCAUUUUGAAUGCAUGCACUGAGUCACCGCAUCACCUCAAAAGCUGAUGUAAUCAUAAUGCACUUCGCCUUUACAUCCAUUUUCUCUCUCCACAGUUCUCAUUACUAUAAAUAACCCUGUUUUGGAAAGUUGAAGCAGAAAUAUGACAAUGGCCACUUUGGAUAAGCCCCAGCACAGACACUCCUCUCCCUGUUAGUGGUUCCGUCAUAGUUCUGCUUAAUGCUCCCCUGCACCAGCAUCUUUCUCCUAGGUUACCUGAAGUUGGGACAACAGCUAAAUGCAGCACUGCCCUCCGUGAUUUGGAUCAGUUCUGCCUUUUUCUCUCUGAAUUAAAUGAUAAUAAAACAGAGGACUGAAUGCAGUUGGGCUGGGAGCUCUCAGGCAUCGAGCUGACUUGAAAUGCAGUCUGGCACUGUGGAAGUGUCAGGGCUGGGCAGUACCACGCAGCAGAGCAGAGGCUGCCUUUGGCUGCUUGCAUCAGCUGGAAGGUCUGCAGAAAGCGAGUAGGACAGCGUUACUGGGAGAACAUUUCUUUCUAUGAAAAAGAUGUGCAAAAGGAUUCCAGCAGUGCCUGACUGAUUGCCAUUUCCUAUGUCCAACUGUAAUGUAAAACCUUUUGCUUUUCUCACACUGUAACAGAGCCGCACUGUGUAGCUCCAGCAUUUACAUGACAACUGGUUUAUUCCUCCUGGAGCUUUCAAAACUGUCUCAUGGUAAGAACACUGUUUUGCAGUGGAAAGAUGAUAGCUGAAGGGGCUAGCUACAGCAGAAGGAAUCAUUUCGUGAUCAGCUUGUUAACAUUCCCAUUUACAGAAGAGCCUUGGCUAACAUCCUUGGCGUAACUAGCACUGUAAAACAGCAGACACAUUCAACUUUUAAGCGUACGUGUUUGUAACACUGUGAACUAAAUUAAGGCACGGAGGGGGUGGUGUAUGGCUGCCUACCGCUGCAUAUAUUAAGGCACAGUUUGUUCACGCUGCAGCACUUGCUCACUUCUAAGAGUUCAGGCGUGGUGCACAAAUAUUUACAGCAGGCAAAGCCGAAAUCAUUUCCUGUUAGAAGUGAAGGUGGCUGCUGCUUCCCGUUACAAACCCUCAGCACGCUUUCCACAUCGCAGCACAAGGCUGCAGGCCGUUGGAGAGGCUGUCUGUGCACGUCUGCUGCGUUGCAGUGCCCAGCAGAGACGAGGCUGAGGUGUUUGUGAGGAGCUGAGGUGUGUGGGGGAAACUGCAGGUGAAAACCUGAGCACCUGUGGGAUCAGCUGCUCCACUGAGGUUUUCAUGAUUGAAGUCCCAUUUAAUUCCCAAUUUUUAGAAGCCUUCAAAAAGCCUUCAUUCAGCUUUGCUCCACAAGGAUCAUCUGUGAAACUAUUUACAGUGGCCAUGCAUUUAUAUUCUCUCUUUCUACUCUUUCCUUUGCAAAAAGAUGGCAAAAAAACCAAGUAGGCUUCACCUGAUGAUGGCAAGAGCUGAACUCAACCCCAAUUUCUGAGCAACGAUCUGAUGACAUGGCUCUGUUCAUAGGGCUGCCCCUCUGCAGCUCGCGUUGCUUUGACCUGAGCAGUCACAGCUCAACACGUGGGGUUUUUGCUUUCUUAUCAUGGGAUUUUUCCUUUUUUUUAAUGUCUUUGCUUUACUACCUUUGAGGAAUGGACGUUUUUCAGCUCUGUAACACGAGCUCUGUACCUCCCAGUGCCCAGUCCAGAAAGGAGUCGGUGUUUCUUUCCUUUUUCUCCAUGCAACAUUACAGGAAUUUUGUGAAGCAAACAAGAGGCUCGAAAAAGCCACAAAGCAAGAAUAUUACACAAGCUUACGAUGAGAAGUGAAGCAACUAAAAUUACCAGAGGGGGGGAAGUUGAACAUCCCUACUGUGUGCAAUGCAGCCUCGUGUCCACCCUACACCACUAAGACAAAACUGAAAACCUUUCGUGUAUGGGUUUCAGCCGCUGCAGCUUAUUAGUUCUGAUAGUUUCACUAUUACAAAUAGUAAUACACGAAGUUCUGUGUAGUGGUUUUAAACUGGAAUUAACGUUAGCCAAUAAUUUUAAUAAUAGCGUCAAAUGUAACACUGCAAGGCAUAUUUUUUUCCUUGCUUAUGUGUCAUUAAGGAGAUUUGGAACCCAGUGGAAAUAGCCUGGCAAUUCUUUUCACGCUUCCUAAGAAAGGGAUUUAAGCUGACAGUCCCGGUGUGAGCCAACAGGGAGCUCUGCCCCGCCUUAACGCGGAGCCGUUCGGUUCCAUCAGGGCCGCCGGUCCCAUCGUUAACCUCAUCGCCGGACACGGAGCCGCGGGCGGAAUGACGGAGGCGGAAAAGCUCAGGAGUUAAGCGAGAAUUACACGUCGACACGGUUCGGGCUCAGCCUCUGGCAGGAUCACUGUUUUUAAUGCAAUUUACUCAUUAAAAACGAGCACCGGAUUACGGAAAGACUGGAGCGAGGCGCCUUGGCCAGGCGGUAUUUCAGCUCCGUGCAGCGCCCCGCUUCUCAUCGCCCACCGCUCCCCGGAACGCCGGCCGUCAUCCAACGCAGUGCUGCGCAUCGCACGGCUCGCGCCGGGAGGGCCGCUCGCAGCGGGGCUGCUCCUGCGCUGCGGCACGGCUGGGCGCGCCCGUUUCCCCCAGCGGAUGCACCGUAACCGCAUUAUCGCGGAUUAGCUGGAUUUCUUCCUUUAAAUGUACACUGCGAGAACCGACCCGCCAGCCAGCUGUUUCUUAUCGGCCCCUUUAAUCUGCCCGAGCCCGGCUCCGCUCCUUCCUUUCGCAGCUAUUUCUGGCACCGCUCGGCGGGGCGCGGCGCAUCUCCGCGCCUCCAUCGGGGAAUCCCUGCCUGUGCCGCCUCCUCCUCCCCCUCCUCCUGGCUGAGCUCCUCGAGGAAAGACCCAGAAGGCGGCGGCGCGGGGCUGCAAGUAGGGCA
ensembl:lncRNA